AGAGUUUGAUCCUGGCUCAGGAUGAACGCUAGCUACAGGCUUAACACAUGCAAGUCGAGGGGCAUCAGUUUGGUUUGCUUGCAAACCAAAGCUGGCGACCGGCGCACGGGUGAGUAACACGUAUCCAACCUGCCUCAUACUCGGGGAUAGCCUUUCGAAAGAAAGAUUAAUAUCCGAUAGCAUAUAUUUCCCGCAUGGGUUUUAUAUUAAAGAAAUUCGGUAUGAGAUGGGGAUGCGUUCCAUUAGUUUGUUGGGGGGGUAACGGCCCACCAAGACUACGAUGGAUAGGGGUUCUGAGAGGAAGGUCCCCCACAUUGGAACUGAGACACGGUCCAAACUCCUACGGGAGGCAGCAGUGAGGAAUAUUGGUCAAUGGACGCGAGUCUGAACCAGCCAAGUAGCGUGAAGGAUGACUGCCCUAUGGGUUGUAAACUUCUUUUAUAUGGGAAUAAAGUGGUCCACGUGUGGACUUUUGUAUGUACCAUAUGAAUAAGGAUCGGCUAACUCCGUGCCAGCAGCCGCGGUAAUACGGAGGAUCCGAGCGUUAUCCGGAUUUAUUGGGUUUAAAGGGAGCGUAGGCGGAUUGUUAAGUCAGUUGUGAAAGUUUGCGGCUCAACCGUAAAAUUGCAGUUGAUACUGGCAGUCUUGAGUGCAGUAGAGGUGGGCGGAAUUCGUGGUGUAGCGGUGAAAUGCUUAGAUAUCACGAAGAACUCCGAUUGCGAAGGCAGCUCACUGGAGUGUAACUGACGCUGAUGCUCGAAAGUGUGGGUAUCAAACAGGAUUAGAUACCCUGGUAGUCCACACAGUAAACGAUGAAUACUCGCUGUUUGCGAUAUACAGUAAGCGGCCAAGCGAAAGCAUUAAGUAUUCCACCU
rnacentral:rRNA from 1 species